AUCUUUAUUAGCUUAUAGAUCACUGUGAAAAGAUGUUUUUCCUACCCCUAUUUGGGGGUUGUUCUUCAUAAAAUAUUUGUUUCUUACCUGGAAAUAAUUUACAAAAGUAACAAUAAAACUUUCAGUUGAAGAAUGAAAGUGGGAGGGAACAGGACAGGAAAAUAAGAAAUGAUAUAAUUUAUCAUUUUCUUCUGUUUCAAUCAGCUAAGUAAACUUGCUUCUUCACUCCCUUCUACAAAAUAAGUCUUGUUUAUUUGAUAUUUCCAGUGUUUUCUAUUAAAUUGUCUACUAAAGAAUGGUAGCAAUGUCAUGGAACACAGGCUGACUGUAUAAACUGGCUAUUCAUGUAACUAGAAUUUCCAAUCUGAAA